GGCAUUUCAGAUUAAAGUUGUUUGGU
rnacentral:piRNA from 1 species